rnacentral:rRNA from 1 species
GAUGAACGCUGGCGGCGUGCCUAAUACAUGCAAGUCGAGCGAACCACUUCGGUGGUAAGCGGCGAACGGGUGAGUAACACGUAGGUGAUCUGCCCAUCAGACGGGGACAACGAUUGGAAACGAUCGCUAAUACCGGAUAGGACGAAAGUUUAAAGGUGCUCCUGGCACCGCUGAUGGAUGAGCCUGCGGCGCAUUAGCUAGUUGGUAGGGUAAAGGCCUACCAAGGCGACGAUGCGUAGCCGACCUGAGAGGGUGAACGGCCACACUGGGACUGAGAUACGGCCCAGACUCCUACGGGAGGCAGCAGUGGGGAAUAUUGGGCAAUGGACGCAAGUCUGACCCAGCAACGCCGCGUGAAGGAGGAAGGCUUUCGGGUUGUAAACUUCUUUAAGUGGGAAGAGUAGAAGACGGUACCACUUGAAUAAGCCACGGCUAACUACGUG